rnacentral:rRNA from 1 species
UACGAAGGGGGCUAGCGUUGUUCGGAAUCACUGGGCGUAAAGCGCACGUAGGCGGAUUUUUAAGUCAGGGGUGAGAUCCCGAGGCUCAACCUCGGAACUGCCUUUGAUACUGGGGAUCUGGAGUCCGGGAGAGGUGAGCGGAACUGCGAGUGUAGAGGUGAAAUUCGUAGAUAUUCGCAAGAACACCAGUGGCGAAGGCGGCUCACUGGCCCGGAACUGACGCUGAGGUGCGAAAGCGUGGGGAGCAAACAGG